rnacentral:rRNA from 1 species
GAGCGAACGCUGGCGGCAGGCUUAACACAUGCAAGUCGAACGGGCAUCUUCGGAUGUCAGUGGCAGACGGGUGAGUAACACGUGGGAACGUACCCUUCGGUUCGGAAUAACUCAGGGAAACUUGAGCUAAUACCGGAUACGCCCUUUUGGGGAAAGGUUUACUGCCGAAGGAUCGGCCCGCGUCUGAUUAGCUUGUUGGUGGGGUAACGGCCUACCAAGGCGACGAUCAGUAGCUGGUCUGAGAGGAUGAUCAGCCACACUGGGACUGAGACACGGCCCAGACUCCUACGGGAGGCAGCAGUGGGGAAUAUUGGACAAUGGGCGCAAGCCUGAUCCAGCCAUGCCGCGUGAGUGAUGAAGGCCUUAGGGUUGUAAAGCUCUUUUGUCCGGGACGAUAAUGACGGUACCGGAAGAAUAAGCCCCGGCUAACUUCGUG